rnacentral:rRNA from 1 species
CCUACGGGAGGCAGCAGUGAGGAAUAUUGGUCAAUGGACGAGAGUCUGAACCAGCCAAGUAGCGUGAAGGAUGACUGCCCUAUGGGUUGUAAACUUCUUUUAUAUGGGAAUAAAAUGUUCCACGUGUGGGAUUUUGUAUGUACCAUAUGAAUAAGGAUCGGCUAACUCCGUGCCAGCAGCCGCGGUAAUACGGAGGAUCCGAGCGUUAUCCGGAUUUAUUGGGUUUAAAGGGAGCGUAGGUGGAUUGUUAAGUCAGUUGUGAAAUUUUGCGGCUCAACCGUAAAAUUGCAGUUGAAACUAGCAGUCUUGAGUACAGUAGAGGUGGGCGGAAUUCGUGGUGUAGCGGUGAAAUGCUUAGAUAUCACGAAGAACUCCGAUGGCGAAGGCAGCUCACUGGACUGCAACUGACACUGAGGCUCGAAAGUGUGGGUAUCAAACAGGAUUAGAUACCCCUGUAGUC